UGGGGAAUAUUGCACAAUGGGCGAAAGCCUGAUGCAGCAACGCCGCGUGAGCGAUGAAGGCCUUCGGGUCGUAAAGCUCUGUCCUCAAGGAAGAUAAUGACGGUACUUGAGGAGGAAGCCCCGGCUAACUACGUGCCAGCAGCCGCGGUAAUACGUAGGGGGCUAGCGUUAUCCGGAUUUACUGGGCGUAAAGGGUGCGUAGGUGGUUUCUUAAGUCAGGAGUGAAAGGCUACGGCUCAACCGUAGUAAGCUCUUGAAACUGGGAAACUUGAGUGCAGGAGAGGAAAGUGGAAUUCCUAGUGUAGCGGUGAAAUGCGUAGAUAUUAGGAGGAACACCAGUAGCGAAGGCGGCUUUCUGGACUGUAACUGACACUGAGGCACGAAAGCGUGGGGAGCAAACAGGA
rnacentral:rRNA from 1 species